AAAAAAGAAACCACUAUCACAAUACCUGACAUUGUGCCUUAUAUAAUUAAGAAAUAUAUUGGCUGGUUGUCAAACUAACCCUCUUUCCUGCUAGGCAGGAGCUCUAGCAAUGCAGUCUAUGUGGAAUUCUUUAGACAAAGCUGGCCUGUGGGUGAGUGAAAUUCUUAAUUUGAGCCUUAAUUAGAACUACUCUAACUAGAUGAACUAACCAUCCCCAAUUUAAUUUUUUUAAGUCUGUAGAAAAAAAUGGUAGCUUUAAAUGCUAAUUUCAAGUAAAGUAUGGUACUGUUCUCUUUAUCAGAACUGACAUCUGGCUUCUCUUUUCCAGAAGGGUGCCCUAAAGUCCUGAAAGUAAAAUCAGGAUCAGGAUCUCAUUAUGAAACUUCUUCACUGAUGAUUUGCUACCAGGCUAUUAUGAGGCCCACUUAAUGUGAGAGGAAACUGAGGCACCAGUGAAGAAGUUAAGCAACUUGCCUCAGAUCACAGGGCUGGGAAGCGGGACAGCUGGGAUGCCAGAGCGCCUGUGUACUUCAUCAGUAUUCCAUACUGUUCUCCAAAAAGCAGAGCUAACAUGAUUGCUUAAAAUGGCAGGACUCCCAUAAGAGGAAUUUUCGGGCUUCCCUGGUGGCGCAGUGGUUGAAAGUCUGCCUGCUAAUGCAGGGGACACGGGUUCGAGCCCUGGUCUGGGAAGAUCCCACAUGCUGCGGAGCAGCUGGGCCCGUGAGCCACAACUACUGAGCCUGCGCGUCUGGAGCCUGUGCUCCGCAACAAGAGAGGCCACGAUAGUGAGAGGCCCGCGCACCGUGA